rnacentral:rRNA from 1 species
UACGGAGGGUGCAAGCGUUAUCCGGAUUCACUGGGUUUAAAGGGUGCGUAGGUGGGCAGGUAAGUCAGUGGUGAAAUCUCUAAGCUUAACUUAGAAACUGCCGUUGAUACUAUCUGUCUUGAAUGUAGUGGAGGUGAGCGGAAUAUGUCAUGUAGCGGUGAAAUGCUUAGAUAUGACAUAGAACACCCAUUGCGAAGGCAGCUCGCUACGCUAUGAUUGACGCUGAGGCACGAAAGCGUGGGGAUCAAACAGG